rnacentral:lncRNA from 1 species
AAGACUAUCAAACUACAGCUGUCCUAAAAUACAGGGAAUCAUCAAUGGCGCAAGCUAGUUUUGCUCCGCAGAGUGAGAAGAUGGAAACAUUUAGGUUGAUGAGUGGGUUUCUGAUCCCUGCUGUCGGAAUCGGCACUUGGAAAUUAUCUCCAUCUCCUCGACAAUCUCUUCAAACUGCUCUUAUUGAGGUUAGGAGUUCCCCACCAUUCAUGAAUUCAACUCCUUUUGCUUUAUUCUUUAUUAUUAAUUGCAUCAAAUAUUGAAUAACUAAUUACUACUCCCUCCGUCUCAAUUCAGUAGCUCAUAAGCCUUGAACACAAAUGUAAUUUACAAUAAAACAUAAGAGAGCAAGUAACUUUUUUCUGAAGAUAUAGUAUUUGUCAAAAAAUUAAAAGAGAGAAAUAAAGAUUUUCUUUUUAAAUAAAAAAAGAGAUAACUACAUAUGAAAGGGUUUUGGCAAACAAAAUAACAAAUUAUUUCGAGUUUACAAUUUUAACGUGACUUUUGAAGUGUGGCGAAUUAAAAUCCCUCUUUUUCAAUUUUUGCAAUUCCGUCUCUCUCAAUUUUUUCGGUCGCCAGAGUGUUGAAUUGAAGCUUACGUGAAUUAGUAAUGACGAUGCCAUUUUUUUAAGGCCUAAAUGACGCUAUUUUGUACAAUUUCAAUUAAAAAUUUCUCUAUGUUAUAAAGAGAUUGUGUCAUGUAUUUGCACCAUAAUUUUCAAUAUUCGGUAAUUUUAUAGAAAACAACGUCGUAACAUGAAUAUUAUGUGAUCAAUUAAUCUACGUAAAUUCCACUUCAACAAUCCAAAAACCGUAAAAAAUUCGGAGGACGAAAUUAGCAAAAAUUGACAAGAUAGUGAUUUAAUUUGCCACAUUUCAAAAAUCAUGUUAAAAUUACAAAUACAAAAUAAUUCGUGAUUUUAUAUGCUAAAACUCUAAUAUGAAAUGAGUUAUGCGAGAUUAUAUUAUUUGUUAUGUGAGAUUAUUAAUUUUUAUUUUAAGAAGUGANUUAGGGUACGGAAGAAGUAAUAAUUAUUUAUUAUUUAUUAGUAAAUAAAAGGUAGAAAUAACUAAGUUAGGUAGUUUAUUAUUAUAAUUUUUAAUUUAUAUUGUAUCGUAAUUACUAUAAUUAUUAUAUAUAUAUAUAUAUAUAUAUAUAUAAUUGGUGAAUAAAUAUAUGAAUUGUGAUGGCUUAAACAAGUUAAAAUUUCAGUUAGAUCAAAAUUGACAUGACAUCAAAAUUUGACAUGAGGUUAGAAUUUAAAUAAUUGAGGAUAGGGUUUUUUAAAAUUUUGAUACCAUAUCAAUUUUGAUUUGGCAGUGAUCUUAAUAUUUUGUAAAUUUUUGAAGCAAUCAAUGUUAGUGUAUUUAUUUACUUAACUUUAUAAAAAAUGGGAUGAGAUUCAAUGUCGCACAAUUUUAUGUAUCACUGUGUCUCAUGCUUAUAUCUAUUAUUUUAAAAAUAUUUUUUAUAAAAAGAAAAUGUAUUAUAAUAAUAUGAAUUAUGUUUAAUUUUUAUUUCAAAAAAAUAAUUUUUUUUAAAGUAUAUACCAUGACUUUGAAUAUAUCACCCUAUUAUUAGUUGAUAAAAGUGAAAUUAAAUGAUAAUUAUAUCCCCUAACUUGAUGAAAUAAACCCUAGUUAAUAAUCACAAAAUUAAACUAAAGCAUACAAAAUUGAAAUUGAAGAAAAAUAUAUAAAAAAAUAAAAUAAAAAAAUUGAAAGUGGGACACAAAGUGGAAUAUAAAGUGUGGUACACUGAAUCUCAUUCCAUAAAAAGUAUGGGAAAAAUAGAAUUCACAAUUUAUAGCUAAAUAGCCGAUUUUUGAUAGAAUUUUUAAUAAUUGAGGCUAAGGUUUUUAAAAGCUCUGAUACUACCAGAGUUUUGAUUUUGUUGGAAUCUCAAAUUUGUGAAAAUUUUAGAAGUAAUUAAUGUUUGUGUAUUUAUUUACUAAUUCUAUGGAUUAAUUCUAUGGAUUAAUUUAGUUAAUCAAUGUAUGUGUUUAUGAUGUUGAAAACUUGUGAAUGGUUGCUUCACCGUACGUCACAGUGUACUACUAGAGACUUUUCUCUCUCGGUGGAAUCACCUAGAUGGGUUUCAAACCUGCGAAUUAACUCACGUUGACCGGCACACCUCCGUUGCCGACGUUCUCGGUGGCUUCGACCAGGUAGAGCCUCCGGUGCAGCAGGUUCCGACCUCCUCCGUGAGCAGCAGCAGGCGUUCCGUGAGCAGCAGCCGCCGUGACCAGCAAAGGAGUUGCAGCAGCCGGCGUUCCGUGAGCAGAUCUCCGUUGAGCAGCAGCAGCAGUCGGCGUCGUCUCCACCUACGGCCCGUUG